rnacentral:lncRNA from 1 species
GUUGGCGCUGACAUUUUUCAGUGUUCUCAUUAAGGUCUCUUCCCACCAUCUCCAGGUUGGAAGGCAGCAAGCAAGCUGAAGUCGCAUGAAGGAGUGGUCCUGCGCCUGCUGCUCUCUCUGCUGAUCUGAAGCCACACAGCCCAGCAUGGCUCCCACUGCUUGACUUUCUGGAGUAACUGGUACACAACCUACAGUAAGAAAUUACAUGGAGACUGCAUGGCUGGCUUGCCACCUAUUUCUCAAUCAGCUUUCAAGUAAGUGAUUUGAAAGAAGGACAUCUUUCUUAUUAGUUCUAGAUUCUGUUUAUAUAGUGUUCAUAUUUAGUAUAUAGUAAGGCAUUUUCAUUUUAAGUUAAGAGAGUAUUAAGUAAUUAAGUAUAUCUUUGUGCCCUUCCAGUCUGCCCCAGCUCCGGGCCACCUGAACUCGGCGUACAGUCCCACGAUCCCCAGAGGACUCUCCACUUGAUCUUAGGAUCACUGGUGAGUUGAACACAACCUCUGUUCCAAAUCAGUUGUGACAGACCUGUGGCAGCAGGA